rnacentral:sRNA from 1 species
GCUGGGUGUGGUGGCGCAUGCCUGUAAUUCCAGCAACUCUGGAGGCGGAGAUAGGAGAAUCUUGAGUUCAAAGCCAGCCUCAGCAACUUAGCAGGCACUAGCAACUCAGUGAGCCCCUAUCUCUA